AUGCGUACCUUUGCUUGGAACUGCCGGGGUGUGGGGAACCGCCGGAUAGUUCGGGAAUUACUGGCGCUGUGCCAGUCACAUAACCCCAACCUUGUUUUCCUUUGUGAAACUAGGCAAACGGAGGAGAAAAUGGAGAAACUGAGAUGGAGAUUGGGCCUAAAAGGCUUUGAAGGGGUGGGAAGUGAUGGAAGAAGUGGGGGUCUAGCUCUCUACUGGCAUGAA
rnacentral:rRNA from 1 species